rnacentral:rRNA from 1 species
GACAGCAGUCGCCACGGUAACACGAAGGGGGCUAGCGUUGCUCGGAAUGACUGGGCGUAAAGGGCGCGUAGGCGGUUUGCACAGUCAGAUGUGAAAUUCCUGGGCUUAACCUGGGGGCUGCAUUUGAUACGUGCAGGCUUGAGUGUGGAAGAGGGUCGUGGAAUUCCCAGUGUAGAGGUGAAAUUCGUAGAUAUUGGAAAGAACACCGGUGGCGAAGGCGGCGACCUGGUCUUUAACUGACGCUGAGGCGCGAAAGCGUGGGGAGCAAACAGGAUUAGAUACCCCCGUAGUCCCUGUCUCUUAUAC